rnacentral:rRNA from 1 species
AGAACGAACGCUGGCGGCAUGCCUAAUACAUGCAAGUCGAACGAACUCUUCGGAGUUAGUGGCGCACGGGUGCGUAACGCGUGGGAAUCUGCCCCUUGGUUCGGAAUAACAGUUGGAAACGACUGCUAAUACCGGAUGAUGACGAAAGUCCAAAGAUUUAUCGCCAAGGGAUGAGCCCGCGUAGGAUUAGCUAGUUGGUGAGGUAAAGGCUCACCAAGGCAACGAUCCUUAGCUGGUCUGAGAGGAUGAUCAGCCACACUGGGACUGAGACACGGCCCAGACUCCUACGGGAGCAGCAGUAGGAAUAUGGACAAGUGGGCGAAAGCCUGAUCCAGCAAUGCCGCGUGAGUGAUGAAGGUCCGUUAGGUGUAAAGCUCUUUUACCGAGUAUGAUAAUGACUAGUAGU